UGUUAUUGAAGUUUCAGCUUUAUAUAUACCGAUGUAAGGUUUAUUAUUGCCUGAGGAGUGCACAGGGUGGCUGCUCCAUGCACCCCCUAGCUUGAAAGUUUUAGAACAAUCACUUCCAAAGGACUUACAACUGUAAUCCUAUUGAAAUAAGGUUAAUUAUCGAGUGGAGUGGUGUCGGGGUGGCAAUCCAUGCACCCCUUUGACCAGAAACUUCUAGAACAUUCUCAAUGCACUGGAUUAAGGACUUUAAAUGUAUGCCCAUAAGAUACGUUAUCGUGUGAUGUGAUAUCAGGGUGGUAGAUGCACCCUCUAGGUUGUGACAUGCGCGUUGCAAUCAGCUGAUUCUAGUCUGGUUUUCGAAAGGCUUUUUGGAGUCAGUACGCCUUCAGCCGUCCGUCGAGGACGACGGAGACAGACUGGUUCUUCAUCCUGCUGCCUGCCCUGUAGGACUGAAGUCCUGCAAUGCAGUACCUGGGUAUCUCUUUAUGACCCUCAGUGAAGAUUCGUCACCUCACUGCCGGGUCUCCGGGCGCUGCGGCCUGUCAUGGCCGCGGCUCCGGAAGUCUUAACAUCUGUGACGGAGAUUCCCAGUGAGCGAGGAUCCCUGAAUCCUCUCUGCGGCUGCAGCACCAGUUUGCCAAACCAUGGUCUCAAUAGUCAAAAACACGCCCGGCUCCAUAUCUUCACGGGUACCCUGACCCGGAGACGCGAAGAUAUGGAGCCGUCUUCCACCUUCCCGGCGUCUGGGACCAUGGCGGCUGGCGUGUCCUUAGGAGUUAGAUAACAAAGGCAGACGCGGAUUCAAGGAGAGGGGGUCUAGAGACAGCUAAUCCUUAGACCUUCUCCUAAACACCUUGGGCCCGCGUCGGAAACUCGGAAACCUUUCGGACGAAUGUCCAGAAUCCACUUAAUUCUCGAAGUUUUUUGAGUUUUAAGUGGAUUCAAAAAAGAUUAUUAGACAGAACUCUAAAAUUUUAUCACAUGUAUAAUGACAGACUUUUGAUAAAUCACAUUUAAUUAUAUUAUAAAAAUUAGGUUAAGGUAAUAUUGUGUUUUAUUUCGAACCUUAUUUAAACCUUUAUUCAAUACCAAUGAUGAUGCUUAAAAACUGAUAUCCAUUGGCUAAGAUGAUUAAAUAGUUUGAUCAAAACUCAAAACGUUGAUUCACAUUCCCAUCUACGUGCAGAUGAUCUUCAUCAUCAUCAUCAUCAUGCCCAUAUUCGUCCACUGGACAUAGG